GACGAACGCUUGCGGCGUGCCUAAUACAUGCAAGUAGAACGCAGUUGCGAACGGGUGAGUACCGCGUAGGUAACUGCCUCAUAGCGGGGGCUAACUAUUGGAGACGAUAGCUAAUACCGCAUCCUGUAAGAUGGACCUGCGUUGUAUUAGGUAGUUGGUGAGGUAAAGGCUCACCAAGGCGACGAUACAUAGCCGGCCUGAGAGGGUGAUCGGCCCCGCUGGGACUGAGACACGGCCCAGACUCCUCCGGGAGGCAGAAGUAGGGAAUCUUCGGCAAUGGACGGAAGUCUGACCGAGCAACGGCGCGUGAGGGAAGAAGGUUGGCGGAUCGUAAAGCUCUGUUGGUAGAGAAGUGGGAACCAACCAGAAAGGGACGGCUAACUACGUGCCAGCAGCCGCGGUAAUAC
rnacentral:rRNA from 1 species